CUUGUGAUAGCAAUAGUUACUUCACUGGAUUGCUCUUCUGGAUUCUUUUGUUCACUUUGCUGCAAGGGAUUAGUUACUUGACCCUCAUUAAACAUGUUUGAAUCCUGAACUGUCUGCCCUUCAAGCCUUGGUGGAUCUACAGAAACCUCUUGUUGAUUUUGAACUUCAUCAUUGGUCACAUUCUUCUUUACAAUCCAUUCCUUCUUCAUUUGUUUCC
rnacentral:lncRNA from 1 species